rnacentral:rRNA from 1 species
GGGGAAUAUUGGACAAUGGGCGAAAGCCUGAUCCAGCAAUGCCGCGUGAGUGAAGAAGGCCUUAGGGUUGUAAAGCUCUUUCGCCUGCGACGAUGAUGACGGUAGCAGGAGAAGAAGCCCCGGCUAAUUCCGUGCCAGCAGCCGCGGUAAUACGGAAGGGGCUAGCGUUGUUCGGAAUUACUGGGCGUAAAGCGCGCGUAGGCGGCUCGACAAGUGAGGCGUGAAAGUCCUGGGCUCAACCCGGGGACUGCGCUUCAGACUGUCGGGCUAGAGUCCGGAAGAGGGUGGUGGAAUUCCGAGUGUAGAGGUGAAAUUCGUAGAUAUUCGGAGGAACACCGGUGGCGAAGGCGGCCACCUGGUCCGGUACUGACGCUCAAGUGCGAAAGCGUGGGGAGCAAAC